UUGGCAGUUCUAUUGCACAGACAUAGCGUGCAAGUAUUGGCCCUACCUAGAGAAGAUGGCAAUCUCCAUGUUGGAACUCAAACCUCUUCUUCAGAUGAAGCCAUUACUGUCUGUAAUGCAUGCCAAGGCCCAUUCAACCAAGUGUGAGGUACAACAUAUUAUUUAUAAUGCCAUUUGAAAUAGAUUUUUUAUCACUUGUACUGUAUAUGAUUGUAAUAUAAGUUUCACACUUUGUUAGAUAAUCUGGAGUGGAAAAAAACAGGAGGUGCUGGCACCACUGCAGGGGAGGAGGUUGAGAUGGUGAACAGCUACCUGUCUCUUUGUGCCCUCACAACAAAGUACAUGACCAAAUCAGCUCGGAAUGACAUGCAAUUGGGUGGAACCGACGGAAGCAGGAUGGCCUUCAUCUUGCAUUAGCCCGCAGAUACAUCAAGACUUUCCAAAAGGCAGAAGCUGAGGCUCAGAGAAUGGUGGCUCUGACCAGUGAGCUUGGGUGUCCUGAGGAGAGCGUACAGCAGUGGGUGCAUGAUGUUACA